AACGAACGCUGGCGGCAGGCUUAACACAUGCAAGUCGAACGGUUGUAGCAAUACAGCAGUGGCAGACGGGUGAGUAACACGUGGGAACCUUCCUAGGGGUACGGAACAACUCAGGGAAACUUGAGCUAAUACCGUAUACGUCCGUGAGGAGAAAGAUUUAUCGCCCUUAGACGGGCCCGCGUCGGAUUAGCUAGUUGGUGGGGUAACGGCCUACCAAGGCGACGAUCCGUAGCUGAUCUUAGAGGAUGAUCAGCCACAUUGGGACUGAGACACGGCCCAAACUCCUACGGGAGGCAGCAGUGGGGAAUAUUGGACAAUGGGCGCAAGCCUGAUCCAGCCAUGCCGCGUGAGUGAUGAAGGCCUUAGGGUUGUAAAGCUCUUUCACCGGAGAAGAUAAUGACGGUAUCCGGAGAAGAAGCCCCGGCUAACUUCGUGCCAGCAGCCGCCGUAACAC
rnacentral:rRNA from 1 species